UUUUCCUUUUUGCGCGCGUAUGUAUGUGUGUGCGCGCAAAGUAUCUCUAUCUAGGGAAUGAAAAAUGGGCGCUGGCGGCCGGAGGGGAGCCCUAUGGAGGCAGCGGGGGAGGCUGCGGGUGCGCAAGGAGGCAAGCGGGCCGCUCCCGGCUGCAGGAGGAGAAGUUGCCACCCUUUCAGCUGUUCCGGCCUUUAUAAAGGAGAAGGGACAGUGCGAGAGACUGUCUUCUUGGACCUGGACAGGGUGGAACAGAGGAGGAAGGACAUCUCAGGUGGUCUUUACAGACCACUGCAGGCACCCACCCACUGCUGCCUACCACCCAGCAGCGUGGCACAGUGGCAGAGACACAGCCUGAAGACACAUCACCUUGGUCCAAAUCCUGGAGUGGCCACUUGCUGGACAAGUGUCUGCAGGAAGGUUUUUUAACCUCUCAGUACCUCGGUUUCCUCCUUUAUAAACUGGAGAUGAAUUUAUAAACUGGAGCUGGGUGUGGUGACAAGCUCCUGUAGUCCCAGCUACUCAGGAGACUGUGGAUCGCUUUGAGCCCAGGAGUUUGAGGCUGCGGUGAGUUGUGACUGUGCCACUGCACUCCAGCCUGGGCAACAGAGCAAGACCCUAUCUCUAAAGAAAUAAAAAUAAAUCUAUAAUGGGAAGGAGUGAGAGAUAACAGAGAGGCAUGGCAAAAUUUUAGUGGUGAUGGAAAUGUUUGUCAUUUUUUAUUGUGGUGAUGGGCUUAUGGGUGUAUACGUACAUCAGAACAAAAUGUGUGCAGUUUGUUGUACCUCAGUGCAGUUGUAGAGAAUUUUUACCCUCCUCCUGGAGUGGUCUGGAGGCUCCCAUGAGGUCCUCCAUGUGGAGGCGCUCAGCAAAACACCUUAGCAGGAAGCAAGCGCGUGGAUCCUUCCAUGCAGCCUUCAAGUUCACUGGUGGCCCCGCACUGCUCCAGGCACUGGGGAGACAGGUGUGAACCAGCCUAAUGCAGGCCCCUGCCUUUGAAGAGCCCCAUUGAGAAGGACAACCAGAUGUAUAAACAGAUAAAUUAGGAGACAGGGUGACAAGGGAGAUGGGGCAGCGGGACGAGGAGAUAACCCCCAAACACUAGAUUUGAAGUCUAACGACUCAGAGAUAAAAACCGUGUUCCACCGGACAGCUGGGUCAUCUUGACCUUGACCUUCUGUGUCUUCUAUAAAUAGAAUGGUAACAACUACCAUGAUUAGUGAGCUGACUAUGUGGUAGCUAGUGUUUUUCUUACUCUACCUGUAGCCUCUCCAUGCUCCUGUGAGAUGUGUUAUUCCUAUCUUACAGAUGGGGAAAUGGAAGCACAGAGAGGCCAAGACACUUGUUCAAGGUCACACAGCCCGUAAGUGGUAAGGCCAGGACUUGAAUCUGAGCAGUCCAGCUACAGAGCCCACAUGCUGAGACCACCGUGCUGUGCAAUUUUCUGGCAGGUGAUGCUGAUGACAAUGAUGACACUUUUGACACAGCGCUUUGGUGAGCGCCACAUACAUUAAUAUGUGGGAACCUGCUCUGCCAGCUAAAAGUGAUGGACCCAUAUGAACUCUGACUUAGGUACAAGUUGGGGGAGAGGGAAGGCUACUCAGAGCAGCAUCGUAGAACGCCUACUGUUUGCAGACCCUGUGUGAAGCGCUGAGAAAUGGAAUGAGGAAGGAGUCCCAGCCUCGGCACUCAGGGACUUCCCAUGCUCUCAGUGAGAUAGACACAAAUCAUUGCAGUGCAGGUGCCAGUACAUGGGUUAGAAGUGGCAGAAGAGGGCCCAGCAGACACCUGGGCCUGAAUGCUACGUGACACCUGCGUGACACCUGGGCCUGAAUGUUGUGCUAAGGGCUCCUUUCUUGUACCUUCUCCGUGCAGAGGAACAGUCUGUAAAGAACACCUCCCCAGGCGCGGUGGCUCACCCCUGUAUUCCCAGCAAUUUGGGAGGCUGAGGCCAGAGGAUCACGUGCAGCCAGGAGUUCGAGACCAGCCUCAGCAACAUAGCGAGAUCCCAUCUCUUAAAAAAAAUUACCAAAAAAAAAAAAAAAUCUAUCUAUCUAUCUGUCUAUCUAUCUAUAUCUGAGUGUGGCCCCAGCUACUCAGGAGGCUGAGUCAGGAGGGAGAAUCCCCUGAGCCCAGGAGUUCAAGACUGCAGUGAGCCAUCUCAGAGACGGGGUCUCGGUCUGUCGCCGAGGCUGGAGUGCCGUGGUGCGAUCUCUUCUCACUGCAACCUCUGCCUCCCAGGUUCAAGCGAUUCUCCUGCCUCAGCCUCCCGAGUAGCUGAGACCACAGGCCCCUGCCACCAUGCCCAGCUAAUUUUUGUAUUUUUAGUAGAGACGGUUUCACCAUGUUGGCCAGGGUGCUUUCGAUCUCCUGACCUCAAGUGAUCUGCCCCACUCAGCCUCCCAAAGUGCUGGGAUUACAAGCAUGAACCACCACACCCAGCCUAAAAAUUUUUUUUUAAUAACACCUGCUCGUCUGCCUCCUGCCAGGCUGGGUGUAGCAGGCACCUCCUCCAGAAGGCCUACCAGGCUUGGCACUUGUUCCAGGCUCCACAGCAUGCACACCUGGCAUCGUCAUGGCCCGAUCAUCAAUCUAGCACUAGACUGAGUCCAGAGUGUUCAAGGGCCUCCUGCCAGCUCCUAGCAUACAGUGGCUGCUCAGGAAGUGCCGCUCGCUGAAGGAAUGAAUAAAUGAUUAAAAUCCUG
rnacentral:lncRNA from 1 species